UACGUAGGGUGCAAGCGUUGUCCGGAAUUAUUGGGCGUAAAGAGCUCGUAGGCGGUCUGUUGCGUCGGCUGUGAAAACCCGGGGCUCAACCCCGGGCCUGCAGCCGAUACGGGCAGACUAGAGUUCGGCAGGGGAGUGUGGAAUUCCUGGUGUAGCGGUGAAAUGCGCAGAUAUCAGGAGGAACACCGGUGGCGAAGGCGGCGACCUGGUCCGAUACUGACGCUGAGGCACGAAAGCGUGGGGAGCAAACAGG
rnacentral:rRNA from 1 species